rnacentral:rRNA from 1 species
UACGGAGGGAGCUAGCGUUGUUCGGAAUUACUGGGCGUAAAGCGCACGUAGGCGGCGAUUCAAGUCAGAGGUGAAAGCCCGGGGCUCAACCCCGGAACUGCCUUUUGAAACUAGAUUGCUAGAAUCUUGGAGAGGCGAGUGGAAUUCCGAGUGUAGAGGUGAAAUUCGUAGAUAUUCGGAAGAACACCAGUGGCGAAGGCGACUCGCUGGACAAGUAUUGACGCUGAGGUGCGAAAGCGUGGGGAGCAAACAGGG